CCUACGGGUGGCAGCAGUGGGGAAUAUUGCACAAUGGGGGAAACCCUGAUGCAGCGACGCCGCGUGAGUGAAGAAGUAAUUCGUUAUGUAAAGCCCUAUUAGUAGGGAAGAAAAUGACGGUAUCUGAGUAAUAAGCCCCGGCUAACUACGUGCCAGCAGCCGCGGUAAUACGUAGGGGGCAAGCGUUAGCCGGAUUUACUGGGCGUAAAGGGAGCGUAGACGGGAGUGCAAGUCUGAAGUGAAAUGCGGGGGCUCAACCCUCGAACUGCACUGGAAACUGUACGGCUGGAGUGUAGGAGAGGUAGGUGGAAUUCCUGGUGUAGCGGUAAAAUGCGUAGAGAUUAAGAGGAACACCCAUGGCGAAGGCGACUUACUAGAAUAUAACUGACGUUGAGGCUCGAAAGCGUGGGGAGCAAACAGGAUUAGAUACCCGGGUAGUC
rnacentral:rRNA from 1 species